UACGUAGGGGGCAAGCGUUGUCCGGAUUUAUUGGGCGUAAAGAGCGUGUAGGCGGCCUUACAGGUCAGCUGUGAAAACUCGAGGCUCAACCUCGAGACGUCGGUUGAAACCGUAUGGCUAGAGUCCGGAAGAGGAGAGUGGAAUUCCUGGUGUAGCGGUGAAAUGCGCAGAUAUCAGGAAGAACACCCGUGGCGAAAGCGGCUCUCUGGGACGGUACUGACGCUGAGACGCGAAAGCGUGGGGAGCGAACAGG
rnacentral:rRNA from 1 species